UACGUAGGGUGCAAGCGUUGUCCGGAAUUAUUGGGCGUAAAGAGCUCGUAGGCGGUUUGUCGCGUCUGCUGUGAAAACUCGGGGCUCAACUCCGAGCUUGCAGUGGGUACGGGCAGACUAGAGUGCGGUAGGGGAGACUGGAAUUCCUGGUGUAGAGGUGGAAUGCGCAGAUAUCAGGAGGAACACCGGUGGCGAAGGCGGGUCACUGGGCCGUAACUGACGCUGAGGAGCGAAAGCAUGGGGAGCGAACAGG
rnacentral:rRNA from 1 species